GAAGAAGAAACUCGAAUGUCGGAGUGGCAGAGAUUGAAAGACGAUGAGAAUGAACGUUUACUUAAAGAAAGCAGAACUAUUUCUGAUAUUCUUUUGUUUCAAAUGUCGAUGUUUACAGAAAUCUUCCAUCCCAGUUGCUUCAGUUUUUCUCGUGGCUCUCGGCGACUUUAAGUUUUUCCUUUGUAAUGAAAACUGACGAUGAUUGUUUUGUUAACCUGGAGACCAUCUUACAGCAAUCCAGUAUCAGACUCUCUUAAAUUAUUUGCUGAAAAUGAAAUGAUGCUUACCGUAUCAUGGCAAUGAUAGCGAGACGAAACUUGGCGUAAGUUAUUUCCUUUGGGAAAUUCAAACUACCCGAAGACACUUGCCUUUGUACAUAUGCAACAUAAUAUUUGUACAUAGGUAAACUGAACAAGAAUAAAAAAGAAGAAAAAACAUUCAAAAGAUAUAGUGCGAGAAAAUUAAAUAAUGGACAAACGUAGCUACUAAUGCUUCGGCAAAUUUUCAUUAAAAAGUACCUCGAAAAGCCGUUAUGAAAA